GACGAACGCUGGCGGCGUGGAUUAGGCAUGCAAGUCGAACGGUAUCAUCCUUUCGGGGGUGAGAGAGUGGCGAACUGGUGAGUAACACGUAGGUUAUCUACCCUCAAGACGGGGACAACCCAGGGAAACUUGGGCUAAUACCGGAUGUGAGCAACUUUUAGUUGUUUGAAAGGUGGCGUAAGCUGUCGCUUGGGGAUGAGCCUGCGUCCUAUUAGUUAGUUGGUGAGGUAACGGCUCACCUAGGCAAUGAUAGGUAGGCGGCCUUAACGGGUGGUCGCCCACACUGGGAUUGAGAUACGGCCCAGACUCCUACGGGAGGCAGCAGUCGAGAAUAGUCUACAAUGGCCGAAAGGCUGAUAGUGCGACGCCGCGUGAACGAAGAAGCCCUUCGGGGUGUAAAGUUCUUUUAUAUGUGAGCAGUGCUUUCUAUGUGAACAGCAUGGGGAGAGAGAUAUUAGCAUAUGAAUAAGCAACGGCUAACUCCGUGCCAGCAGCCGCGGU
rnacentral:rRNA from 1 species